UACGUAGGGGGCGAGCGUUGUCCGGAUUUAUUGGGCGUAAACGCUUGUAGGUGGCUACGUCAAGUCGGACGUGAAAUCUCCCGGCUUAAACUGGGAGGGGUCGCUCGAUAGCUGGCGAGCCUCGAGGUCGAGGUAGGGGGAAGGCGGAAUUCCCGGUCGUUAGGUGGUGGGAAUCGCGUAGAUAUCGGGAGGGAACACCAG
rnacentral:rRNA from 1 species